GAGUUUGAUCAUGGCUCAGGAUGAACGCUGACAGAAUGCUUAACACAUGCAAGUCUACUUGAUCCUUCGGGUGAAGGUGGCGGACGGGUGAGUAACGCGUAAAGAACUUGCCUUACAGACUGGGACAACAUUUGGAAACGAAUGCUAAUACCGGAUAUUAUGAUUGGGUCGCAUGAUCUGGUUAUGAAAGCUAUAUGCGCUGUGAGAGAGCUUUGCGUCCCAUUAGUUAGUUGGUGAGGUAACGGCUCACCAAGACGAUGAUGGGUAGCCGGCCUGAGAGGGUGAACGGCCACAAGGGGACUGAGACACGGCCCUUACUCCUACGGGAGGCAGCAGUGGGGAAUAUUGGACAAUGGACCAAAAGUCUGAUCCAGCAAUUCUGUGUGCACGAUGAAGUUUUUCGGAAUGUAAAGUGCUUUCAGUUGGGAAGAAGUCAGUGACGGUACCAACAGAAGAAGCGACGGCUAAAUACGUGCCAGCAGCCGCGGUAAUACGUAUGUCGCAAGCGUUAUCCGGAUUUAUUGGGCGUAAAGCGCGUCUAGGCGGCUUAGUAAGUCUGAUGUGAAAAUGCGGGGCUCAACCCCGUAUUGCGUUGGAAACUGCUAAACUAGAGUACUGGAGAGGUAGGCGGAACUACAAGUGUAGAGGUGAAAUUCGUAGAUAUUUGUAGGAAUGCCGAUGGGGAAGCCAGCCUACUGGACAGAUACUGACGCUAAAGCGCGAAAGCGUGGGUAGCAAACAGGAUUAGAUACCCUGGUAGUCCACGCCGUAAACGAUGAUUACUAGGUGUUGGGGGUCGAACCUCAGCGCCCAAGCUAACGCGAUAAGUAAUCCGCCUGGGGAGUACGUACGCAAGUAUGAAAC
rnacentral:rRNA from 1 species